CCUACGGGAGGCAGCAGUAAGGAAUAUUGGACAAUGGUCGCAAGACUGAUCCAGCCAUGCCGCGUGCAGGAUGACGGCCCUAUGGGUUGUAAACUGCUUUUAUACGGGAAAAAACCCCUCUACGUGUAGAGGGCUGAUUGUACUGUAAGAAUAAGGAUCGGCUAACUCCGUGCCAGCAGCCGCGGUAAUACGGAGGAUCCAAGCGUUAUCCGGAUUCAUUGGGUUUAAAGGGUGCGUAGGCGGAAUAAUAAGUCAGUGGUGAAAGCCCUCAGCUUAACUGAGGAACUGCCAUUGAUACUGUUAAUCUUGAGUAUAUUUGAUGUGGGCGGAAUGUGUCAUGUAGCGGUGAAAUGCUUAGAUAUGACACAGAACACCGAUUGCGAAGGCAGCUCACAAAACUAUAACUGACGCUGAGGCACGAAAGCGUGGGUAUCAAACAGGAUUAGAUACCCUGGUAGUCCACGCUGUAAACUAUGAUUACUCGAUGUUUGCGAUACACUGUAAGCGUCUAAGCGAAAGCGAUAAGUAAUCCACCUGGGGAGUACGCCGGCACGGUGAAACUUAAUGAAUUGACCGGNUGAGAGNGCGACGGACGACGACGAGGGAGGAGG
rnacentral:rRNA from 1 species